AAUAGAUACCCGGGUAGUCCACGCCGUAAACGUUGGAUACUAGGUGUGGCGGUUAUACCAAUGACUGCCGUGCCGAAGCUAACGCAUUAAGUAUCCCGCCUGGGGAGUACGGCCGCAAGGCUAAAACUCAAAGGAAUUGACGGGUCCCCGCACAAGCGGCGGAGCAUGCGGCUUAAUUCGAUGCNAACCCGAAGAACCUUACCUGGGUUUGACAUCACGGGAAAAGCUGUAGAAAUACAGUGUCCAUUAGGGCCCGUGACAGGUGGUGCAUGGCUGUCGUCAGCUCGUGUCGUGAGAUGUUGGGUUAAGUCCCGCAACGAGCGCAACCCUUGUCCUAUGUUGCCAGCGGUUCGGCCGGGGACUCAUAGGAGACUGCCGGGGAUAACUCGGAGGAAGGUGAGGACGACGUCAAGUCAUCAUGCCCCUUAUAUCCAGGGCUGCACGCAUGCUACAAUGGCCGGUACAACGGGCAGCGACCCCGCGAGGGUGAGCGAAUCCUAAAAAGCCGGUCCUAGUUCGGAUUGAAGUCUGCAACUCGACUU
rnacentral:rRNA from 1 species